rnacentral:rRNA from 1 species
GACCAGACUCCUACGGGAGGCAGCAGUGGGGAAUAUUGCACAAUGGGGGAAACCCUGAUGCAGCGACGCCGCGUGAGCGAUGAAGUAUUUCGGUAUGUAAAGCUCUAUCAGCAGGGAAGAAAAUGACGGUACCUGACUAAGAAGCCCCGGCUAACUACGUGCCAGCAGCCGCGGUAAUACGUAGGGGGCAAGCGUUAUCCGGAUUUACUGGGUGUAAAGGGAGCGUAGACGGCUGUGCAAGCCAGAUGUGAAAGCCCGGGGCUCAACCCCGGGACUGCAUUUGGAACUGUGUGGCUGGAGUGUCGGAGAGGCAGGCGGAAUUCCUAGUGUAGCGGUGAAAUGCGUAGAUAUUAGGAGGAACACCAGUGGCGAAGGCGGCCUGCUGGACGAUGACUGACGUUGAGGCUCGAAAGCGUGGGGAGCAAACAGGAUUAGAUACCCCGGUAA